rnacentral:tRNA from 1 species
UAUUAAAUAUCUUAAAUAUAAAGAAUUGAUUUUUUAAAUCAAAUAUAAUAAUUUAUUAAUUAUUUUUAGUAA